UUUUUAUGUCUUUGGGUUUGGACUAUACCUUCCUAUAUAUAAACGUAUGUAUCAAUUCUGCAGGCAUGCAAUUGUGGAGGAACUGGCUGGAUUAGGAGCAACCAUACACACGUGUUCUCGAAAAGAAACCGAGCUCAAUGAAUGCUUAAAGGAUUGGAAAGCUAAAGGUUUUGGAGUGAGUGGUUCAGUGUGUGAUGUAUCCUCUCGGGCCCAAAGGGAGAAGCUAAUGGAGACUGUCUCUUCUGUGUUCAAUGGGAAGCUGAAUAUCCUUGUAAGUUCCUCUAGUCUCUAAGGUUCCUAUCCAUGAUAUUCCACAUACUUUGUCGAACUUCCUACAAUUUGAGUUCCCCUACUUGAUAUAUAUAUAUAUAUAUUUUGGUUCCGGAUUCAGGUCAACAACGCUGCUAUUGUUAUUCAGAAACCAACAGUAGAGGUCAAGGCAGAAGAGUUCUCAACAAUCAUGGCCAUAAAUUUAAUUUGAAUUAUAUUAAAUUUGAUAUUAUAAAUUCCUAAUUAAAUUUUAAAAUAUAUUAAAUUUAUUUGAUAGAAAUAUAUAUAAAUAAAAAAAAAUUAAUAUUUUCAUAUAAUAAAUUAUAUAAAAAUAAUAAUAUUUUUUUAUCAAAAUUGUUUUCAACAAUAUUUCAAAUAUAUAUAUAUAUAAAUUUGGGAAACUUGUGUUUUGCGGUUGCUAUUUAGGAAUUAUAUGGUUUUCGAAACCCUACAAUGGGAAAUAUGAGAAUCAGUUUUUAAUAUGAAAAGUGUUAUCAUUUUUGUGCACUCUGAGUCGGCUCCAUCUUCUAUGCCCAAAUUGUCCCUUCGUGUCUCCACUCACCAUCCUCAACAUCAUCCCAGCCUCCAUGUCAGUACGUAGGACCAUUGAAAUUAAGAAAAAACACUAAAAUCUAAAUUUAUAACUUCUAUAAAAAAAAACACCCCAUAUGCAAGUUUUCAAUUUGCUCAUUUGGAAGCUUUCUUUCAUCUUUCUUCGCUCCCGACAACCCAAAAUUUCUCUCAUUUUAGUUCAGAAACCCAAAUCCAAAACCCCAAAUGUGAUACAUUGUGGAAUUGAUUUCAUGGUCCUUAUCAAGAUGAAUGCACCAUGUACUAAACUUUAACCUAAUUCCUUUUGCCAAUUUUUCUGGCCCUAAGUUACUAGGAACUAUGGUUCCAGUUGGGUGGAUUUUGAGUAGUCAAAAACCAUUUUUAAAGCUCAAUAAAAAAUUUUAUGCCGGUCUGUGGACCCCGUAUUUCUGCCCAUGCACUUUCACUUGAUGGUGAACUCGUUUUUUAUUAGAAAAAAAUAUUUAUUUUUUUUAGAAAAUGACUGGGAGUCGCCACUUAUUUUAAAGGGAAAACAAAAUAAGAAAAAAAACUCUAAGUGCGAUUCCUUAUUUGGAAAAGAUGGUCUGCAAAAAAAAAAAAACCAAAUCUGGGCUCGAGAGUCAGGUUACUUAUUAGGAAGAUACGAUAAAGACCGUAACACCCCUCUAAGCCCCUAAAAUGGGUCUCUACUAAAUAUGAUGAAGCAGACGUGACAAUUAACUAAUAGAUUAAAAGAUACCUAAAUGAUAUUACAAUAGAAGCCAAACAUGUAUAAAGGAUAGUCAAAGUGAGAGUGCGAGCAUACCUUAGCAACAAACACUAAUGUGCUAUCAAGAAUUAGGGUUAGUGCACAAUAAUGAGUACAAAAAUAUGUCACAUGCGUCACUAAAUAGAAUAAGAAAUCACCCAUGGCAAACAUUGCACUUCACUCAAAUUUAUUUAAUUUUAUUAAGAAGACAUCACUAAUGUUGGCCCCUCACCAAAGCCCAAUUUAUUUUUGCAUAAAUCAAUUCCAUAAAUUUCAUCACUUGGAAUUACAAAAUUAAAUCCAUGUUUAUUUUAAAACAUUUUAAAAAUCAAGGAAGAUGUGAAAAUUGCUUGCCCAAGAUAAAUAUUAAUGACAACAAAUUUUAUUGAAAAAAUGGAUUUUUGAUGAACCUAAAAAUUCUAAGGAUGAUAAUUCGAAGAGUUAAAAUAAUUUGAAAAACUAGAAUUUGGAAAAUUAUUUGCAAACUGGGAUUUGAGAGAUUAUUUUUUUUAAAUCAAAGAUGAAGAAAUGGAAAGAAUGACAUGCACAUGGCCCAAAUGUAGCCAUGCUAGGUGCAUAAGUGGGAGAGAUGGUGAGGGAUAACCAUGCAGGAGUGGAGGGAGUCCUACAGCCGGAUUUUGCCUUGGAGCUCCUUAUCUACAGAAUUCUGCCAAUAUUCAUCUUCAAUAUUCUCCACUGAUGAUUCUUUGGUGGAUUGUAAAAAAAAGAUGAUCUUCAGAUAAAAAUUCGGCAGAAUGGUAGAUCCCUUGGGUCAAUAUGUGCUUGAGUAUCAUUUCCAUCAGUACCAUCCACAGUAACUUUUUCGUGUUGCUCUUUAGCAUCCUCUGCUAUCGCAGGUUGACCUCCAAGAAGUACUUCAGAACUGGGCAUCUCUCACCUGUCUCCAAGCUAAUCACACCCUUGUGGACAUGCACACCCUCAGAUAAACCGGGUUUUUUCCUAAGAUCCUCAACAUCUUCUUUUUAUCCCAGUAGAGCCAAAUGCUACACCUUGGACAUGGGCAUUUUCAUCCACAUUAGCACACACUGAAAGACCCUGAUCAUGUUCAAUUGGAACAAAAACAACAGAUUCAGCAUCAAGAUUGAUCAUUUCUUUAUUAUGCAAUGAUUUCAUUUCCUGAUGUAGAUCAGUCUUUGAGGCAUUGAUGAUCUCAGAAGAAGAAAACAACUUUUCUUGCAAAUAGAUAAACUCAUUAAUACCAGAGUCUAAAUUAGAUACAUGUUCCUCUACAUUCAAUUCUUGAGCCUGAGCCAAUCCAUUUGAGUCAAUUGGCAGCAGUAUCUUUCCAUUGGUUCGUCCGGAUUCCCUCUCUAAUUCACAGCCUUCAGACUACUCCAUCUUAUCACUAGUAUUACCAUCAUCAACAUCUUCAAAGAUGCUAUCUCCAACAUUAAAUUGAGAAUCGCAACAUUGUGUUGAGAUAUUAGGAAUGCUUUCCGUAUAUCAUUAUUUCCUUAUAUUAUUUAGUGUUGAGAUAUUAGGAAUGUUUAAAUAUUAGGAAAGUUGAGAUAUUAAGAAUAUUGAGAUAUUAUGAAUAUUGAGAUAUUAGGAAAGUUGAGAUAUUAGGAUAUUAAUUGUUAUUUCCUUAUAUCAUUCUUUCCUUGUAUCAUUCCUUCCCAUUCUUAGAAUGGUGAUUACCCUCUAUAUAUUCUCUGUACAUGAACGAAUGAAAGGAUGAAUGGAAAAAACUACUAUUUAUCAAUUUGAAGAUGGUAUCAGAGUCAUGGAACUGAAAUCCUGGAUAUUUUGUCGCUAUGGUAGUUCGACAGCGAUCAUCCAUCCUAAGACAAGCCCUAAUAUUGAUAAGUCAACCUUCAAAUGCACUCACUUCAAUAAGAUUGAUCCCACCAAUCUGGAUAUCCCACAAUUUCAAAGCAACGACUCUUGGUAUGACCAGGAAAACAAUGAGGAACCGAGGGUUUGAACCAUGGACCUUUAGAUCAUGUUUAGGCUAUCAACACUUUGUUAUUAAUGAUAAUAAUCGUGAUCAACGAAAGAAGGAUUCCAAGAAAACCUCGAUUGCAACUGUUGCCGAAAUAAAAACAGAGGCUAAUGUUGCUGAGAAAGCCUCUGCAUUGGUAGUCGCUACAGAUCAUGGUGGUAAGUUUUUAAAUACUUUUACACCUGUUAUUAAUAGUGCAUGGAUAAUUGAUUUUGGUGCUAUAGAUCAUAUGACUUUUGAUUCAAGACAGGUUUCACCACUUAGACCUUCCUCACAAAAAAUUGUUUCCACAGCCAAUGGUAACACAACCCCAGUCAUUAGGGAAAGAUCCUUAACUCUUACUGAUACUUUGAAUUUGGAUUUUGUUUUAGUUGUUCCAUCUUUAGAUUACAAUCUUUUGUCAGUUUCUCAAAUUACCGCAGCCUUAUCUUGUAUUGUCAUUUUUUGGCCUGAAUUUUGUGUGAUUAAGGACAUCCAAACAAGACAGACGAUUGGUUGUGGUAUUAAGCGGGGAAAACUCUAUUACUUGGACUUGCAGUCAAAGGAUUCAAAUAAGUUGCAACAAGCCUUGAUAGCAGAUGGAUCUGAGGAGGAGAAGAAAAAGUCUGAAAUUUGGUUGUGGCAUCGACGUCUGGGACAUGCUUCCUUUGGCUAUUUAAAAAAAUUGUUUCCUAGUUUUUUUGCAAAGAGUGAUAUUUCUGGUUUCCGUUGUGAUAUUUGUGAAUUGGCUAAAAGCCAUUGUGUUUCGUUUCCGCUAAUUUUGAACAAAAGUCCGUUUCCUUUUAUGGUUAUACAUUCUGAUGUUUGGGGCCCAUCCAAAGUCCCAACUUUGAGUGGCUCACGUUGGUUUGUUACUUUUAUUGAUGAUUGUACCAGAAUGACAUGGUUAUGCUUGAUGAAGACCAAAGAUGAAGUGAACUUGUUGUUUCAAAAUUUUCAUAAAAUGAUUGAAACUCAGUACAAUGCAAAGGUUCGGGUUCUGCGUAGUGAUAAUGGUGGAGAAUAUCAAAGUUCUGAUCUUCAAAAGUAUUUGGAAGGACAUGACAUCAUUCAUCAAACUACUUGUUCCAAUACACCCCAGCAAAAUGGAGUCGCUGAACGGAAAAAUCGACACUUGUUAGAGGUUGUUCGUGCUUUCUUGAUAGCAGCAAAAACACCGAUAUCUUAUUGGGGAGAAGCAAUCACAUUUGGUGCAUACUUGAUCAAUCGGGUACCUUCCAGCUCAAUUAACUUCCAAACACCUCUCCAAGCUCUUACUAAUGUCGUAAUUGCCCCAACUGUCCCAAAUCUACCUCCACGUGUUUUUGGUUGUGUGGCAUUUGUGCAUCUACACAAACACCAACGCACCAAGUUAACUUCUCAUGCAUUGCAAUGUGUGUUUGUUGGAUAUGCAUUACACAAAAAGGGAUAUCGAUGUUACCAUCCUCCAAUACCAUCCUCCAACUCGACAAAUGUAUAUUACAAUGGAUGUGGUGUUUCAUGAAGAUUCGAUGUAUUUUUCAUCUGAGUCUGAACUUCAGGGGGAGUACCAUAAGGAAAUUCAGACUCUCGAUUAUGAUUAUCAUAUCUCUAAGGAGAAUGAAUCUGGAUAAUCUGAACUAGUGAACCAAGAAGCGGGUGAGUUGGAUAUGAGUGGUCAACAAUUUGGGUCCGAAGACGUCUUCACUGAAAUACCAAACCAAUCGUCGUCUGUUGAAGGUGUUCUUAAUUUGGAACCUGAUCCAUUCAUGAAACGGUUACCACACCGUCAUAAUAGAGGUAUUCCUAAACCCACAUAUGAACCUGAAUUGUCUACCAAAGUCAAAUAUCCCAUGAGCAACUAUGUGUCUAACCAUCGUUUGUCUGAAUCAAAUAAGUCAUUUGUAAAUCAAUUAUCUACUGUAGCUAUUCCUAACAGUGUGCAGGAAGCCUUAGUUGAUCCAAGAUGGAAAGCAGCCAUGAAUGAAGAGAUGAAAUCAUUGCAGAAGAAUGAAACAUGGGAACUCGUAGAAUGUCCACCAGAAAAGAAGCUAGUUGGGUGUCGUUGGAUCUAUACUGUGAAGUACAAGGCAGAUGGUAGUAUUGAACGAUUUAAAGCAAGACUGGUAGCAAAAGGGUACACUCAAACUUAUGGAAUUGACUACACAUAGACAUUUGCACCUGUAGCUAAGAUCAACACAGUUCGAUUAUUACUGUCUUUAGCUGCAAACCUAGAUUGGCCAUUACAACAGUUCGAUGUGAAAAAUGCCUUUUUGCAUGGCUAGUUAUCUGAAGAAGUAUAUAUGGAUCUUCCACCAGGAUGCAUGGUGUCAGAAAAGCAAUGUCAGAAGGUGUGCAAAUUGAAGAAGUCAUUGUAUGGGUUGAAGCAAUCCCCGAGAGCAUGGUUUGGAAGGUUCACAAAGUCAAUGAGAGCUUUUGGCUAUCGUCAAAGUAAUUCAGAUCAUACUUUGUUCCUGAAAAAGCAACAUGGUAAGAUUACCGCACUCAUCGUAUAUGUGGAUGACAUGGUAGUUACAGGAAAUGAUCCUGAAGAAAGAAAAGCUCUGCAAAAUUAUCUAUCUAGAGAAUUCGAAAUGAAAGAUCUAGGUCCUCUGAAAUACUUUCUUGGGAUUGAAGUUUCUCGAUCAAGUGAAGGAAUUUUUCUGUCUCAAAGAAAGUAUGCCUUAGAUCUUUUACAGGAGACUGGAAUGUCGGGAUGUCAACCUGUUCAUACACCAAUAGAAGAAGGUCUGAAAUUGUGUGUUAAGCCUAAUCAAGUAUCAACCGAUAAGGGAAGAUACCAGAGACUUGUGGGGAGAUUAAUGUACUUAGCUCAUACAAGACCAGAUCUUGCUUAUGCAUUGAGUGUAGUGAGUCAAUACAUGCAUAAUCCUGGAGAGCAACAUAUGAAUGCAGUUAUGCGUAUUUUGAGGUAUUUGAAGAAUGCUCCUGGGAAGGGAAUUUUGUUCGCUAAAAAUGUUAAUCAUCAGAGUAUAGAAGUAUAUACUGAUGCUGAUUGGGCCGAUGCAGUGGAUGAUAGGCGAUCUACAUCUAGAUACUUUACCUUUGUAGGUGGUAAUCUUGUGACAUGGAAAAGUAAGAAGCAGAAUGUCGUCGCUCGUUCAAGUGCAGAAGCAGAAUUUAGAGGUAUGACUCUAGGACUUUGUGAGGCAUUAUGGCUAAAACUUCUCUUACAGGAUUUAGGUUACCUAUCUAGGCAACCAAUACGAUUGUUUUGUGACAAUAAAGCCGCAUGUGACAUUGCUCAUAAUCCAGUACAACAUGAUCGUACAAAGCAUGUCGAGGUGGAUAGAUUCUUCAUUAAGGAAAAGUUGGAUGAUAAGAUUGUGGAAUUGCCUAAGAUUUGAUCAGAAGAUCAAUUGGCCGAUAUCCUCACCAAAGUUGUCUCAAGUCAAGUGUUCUCAAAAUUUUUAGACAAGUUGGGCAUGUGUGACAUCUAUGCACCAACUUGAGGGGGAGUGUUGAGAUAUUAGGAAUGUUUUCCGUAUAUCAUUAUUUCCUUAUAUUAUUUAGUGUUGAGAUAUUAGGAAUGUUUAAAUAUUAGGAAAGUUGAGAUAUUAAGAAUAUUGAGAUAUUAGGAUAUUAGUUGUUAUUUCCUUAUAUCAUUCUUUCCUUAUAUCAUUCCUUCCCAUUCUUAGAAUGGUGAUUACCCUCUAUAUAUUCUCUGUACAUGAACGAAUGAAAGUAUGAAUGGAAAAAACUACUAUUUAUCAAUUUGAAGACAUUGAUACUCAAAAGGACGUUCCCAUGCAUCCAUUGCAGUAUUUAAAUCCCAAUGUGAUCGAUCAUCUUGCAAUGAUGACUCAUGUGUUCUAGUUGUUUCAUCAUAUUUAUUUUUUAAAAGAUCUACGACACAGUCACAUGAGAAUCUGGCAAAAAUGUGGCAACAAGUUUUUUUUCGAGCUCUGUGGAAGAACAGGAACCAACUUCUUUAGUAGAAAUUUUAGCAGAACUCAUAAGGUCUUCCAUGGGAAAUCCCUUUGGCAAUGAGCAUAAUUCAUUAUUCACCAAAACAUCAAGAGAACCCUCAUGUGGAGAAGAUUUUCCAUCUCGGGAAACUCCUCCUCAAAACCACAUUCUCCUCCUAUGCUGCUACUGCAUGCAGUAGCCGCAAAUAGGCUGAAGAUGGAAACAGUGUCUUUUGGACUUGAGUUGGAUUGUUGAUCAUUCUCUGGAAGUGGGUUAUGAUCAGAAAUUUGAAUGGAGCGAAGUUCUAGUCCUUCCAUGGAAGAACGUAGAUUAAACUAGGGCCGCUUUCCUUUCCUGUUAUGUUAUCUUCUAUUUCUUGCUUAUCUUUUCAGCUAAGGCCCACCAACUAUCUUCACCCUUCCUUCGUCCCGCUUCCUCCACUUCUUUCUUUUCUUCUAUUCUCACUGCCACUACAGAAGCUGGAUGGAUUCAGAAUGUCCACUAAGAGUUCUCAUAUGGUCUUCGGAAAGGCUACCUUAAUUCAGAUUUCCUUAUUCACGUGCCUGAAUGCUACAUACUUGAAGUCACCUGGAUUUCUCCUCUGUUUGUCACCAAGUUCGUAAUAUUUGUACCGAUGUUAGGAUCACGUGUUGCGCUUUUGGCACAUCUGAAAGUCAUCGUUACUCCAUGCCAGACACUCAAAUUGUUCUCAAGCUUGGACCUGAAAUGGAGAGCCGUUCUAAAGAGACCAUGUCGUGGUGGCUUGAUCCAUAUUUCUCGAAAGUCGUUGCAAACAGCAUGAUGCCAAACAGACAUGGCGGUCACGAGGAGAUGGGUUAGGAGGAUGAGUUUGAAUGGAAAAGGUGGAGAAAGAAGUGGGUUUUAUAGGGAUAGAGGUUGAAUGGAGCUAUGGGUAGUAAGAGAAGUGGGUUUGGUGGUGGAAUGGAAGAUGGGGAUAUGGAGAUUGGGAAAAUGAAGGUUAGUAGGAUGGUGAGCUGGUUUGAUUCACGCAGGUGCAACAUGCAUGGGGUGCAGAGGCCAAGAAACAGGUGUAGUGUGAUUUCCUUUGCUAGGGAACCAGGCAAUUUAACGGAAGAGGUAAUCCCAUGUCGACAUAGAGGGCAUGGAAUAGACCCAGGUGGGCCCACCAUGGCAGCUUUGAGUUAGUCUAAGCUAAACUCGGUGAAGCUAGGCAGCAAGUUCCAGUCAGCUUUACCCCCAUUCUUGAUAUCAAAGAGCAUGUGUGCAACAACACUUAGGUGGGCUGUAAUCUCAUUGUUGUAUAGUUCUUUAGAUAACCAGUUCAUAAUAAGCUCAUGUAUUGUGAUACUGUACAAUUAGCAUAGUGUAACGCCCAAGUUUCUUUUUAGGAAAAUAUUAUUAAUAAUAAUAAUUAAUUAAUUAAUUAAUUAAUUUAAUAAAAUGUAAGAGGGGUGAAAAUGUAAUUUUACGAAUAAAUACCCUAGGUAUAAUUGUAUAAAUUAGAAUUUUGUUCUUCCUGUUCUUUUCUGAAUCGUGUUCCUAUUCGCAGAGAAUUCCUGAAAACGUAAGAUUGAAGUCGGAUUUCAGGGUUUAAAGAACAUAUCUCUAUAGGUAAGAUUCUAAACCCUGUAUUAAUAUUUUAGAUUCAUUAGUUAAUUUUAAGCAUAUUAGAUAUUUUUUGGAAAACCCAAAUCUAGAUUAGGGUUAGUUUUUUUUUUUAAUUCAUUUUAAUAUCAAAAGAGUGAAAAUUUAAGAUUUUGAUUUAUUGUUGGAAAUUGGGAAAUCUUAGGUUUUUAGAUGAAAAAAAAAUAUUUGGAAGAUUUCGAUUUAGACUAGGGUUAAUUUAUUUUUUAAAAAAUAAAUAAAUAAAUAUAUUGUUAAUUGUGGCUUAAGGGAUUAGAAAAAUAUUAAAACAAUUUGAUUUAACAAAAAAAACGCGUGUGCACUGGAAGAUAGAAAAUUUGUGGAAAAAAAAAAUUGUUGCCUGCGUGGGAACUGGUUAGUUUUAGGUUAAUAAAUAAGAUAUAGUAAUAAUGGUUGAAUGUAAUAAAUAGAAUGAGGUAGUUGCAAGGGGUGCAAUCCAUGUGUGCUGGAAGCAUGACUCAAAAAGUACACCAGCCUAAGAAAUAAAAAUAAAUAAAAAAAUAAAGCUUGAAAUAGCCAAGACAUUGUUACUACUUAAAUAACUAAUGAACUACUCCAAAGAAACUUCUCUUACAUGUAGAAAUGUCAACAAUAAAUAUAUAUAUAUAUAUAUAUAUAUAUAUAUAUUGUAGAAUUUUAUAAUGAAAUAAAAGUGCAUUUUAAUUAAAUUAGUAAUGAGUUAUUAGAAACAAAUUGGGAAUUUAUUAAUUUAUUUAAAUAAGGAAUAUAUUAGUUAAAUUAUAGAUAAAUAGUAAUAGUUAUUUCUCUUAUGUUAUAUUAGGUGAAGAUUAGAUUUUCCAGAAUUACUUUUCUCCCAAGUUUUCAAGGACUUCUUUUGAGGUAAGGGAAAUUAAUGCAGUUAUUAUUAUUUUUUUAGAAAUAAAUUUUUAUAUACAUCAUUUGGAAAUAUUUUGAAUUAAUAUUCGUUUUAUGCAUCGAUAAAAUAUGUUUUGUAUGAAUAGUAUGUUAGAACUUUAUAUUUUGUUUACAAUAAAGAAAUGUGGAGAUAUUAUGUUUUGCAAAUUCGAAUAAUUGAAAUAAGUGUUUGACUCUGGUUUGUUUGGCCCUUGUCAACGGGAUAUAAUAGUUGACCUUUACAUUUCUUGGUGGGGAAUGUAAUUGAUUUGGAUCCCAACCUCUAAGGGUUUGGUUAUAGGUUACUAGUACUAGUAGUGUUUGGUUCCGUUCACCUUAAAGGAACAAUUUGAGGCUAGCCACCUAUUCGAAAAGUCUCACCUAAUUGGGCACCAUUUGAUGUUUGAUGAUCAGAGUAAAUAAAUAAUUUGAAUGUUUUGAUCGAAUUUGAUAUGAAAAUGCUUGAAUCAGAAAUGAAAGUGUACAAUUAAAAGUUUUGAAUGAAUUGGCAAAACUGACUCGAAGGUUUAUAAAAAUAAUUAGUUAUAAUAUCUCCUAUUUUGCAAGUGAACUUGAAAUAUUUGAUCCAUGAACUGCAUUAAUGUUCCUUAUUGGGCUUUGAGCUCAUUCCUAUUUGUUGAUUACUUUUUAGGCAGCCUUAGUUCGAGCGAGGAGUGAUGGCUAGAUCAGGGAAUGGUCAUCAUUAGGAUUUUGAUUAGGAUGUUAUUUGGACAUUGUUAGCUUAUAAGUUUAUGUUCAUUUGGAUUAUUUGGUUUUUGGAAGCUAUUUAGAUAUUGAGCUUUUAAAUAUAUUUUUUGAUAAGUUUGAAGUUGAGAUUUGGAGAUUAUGAAAAUUUGUUAGCACUUGAUUUAUUUGAGUUUGCAAUCUAUUUGGAUAAUGGAUUUUGGUUGAUGGAUGCUUAGUUUUAAAGUUAUGUUCGAAGAUUUUAGAAUUUUGUUCCGCUACUCUGAACAGGGUUUUGGUAAUUGAUUACUUCCAAUUACAAUAUGAUUGUUUGGGUCAAGUUACACUUUAAGCCUUUAGGUUUGAGGUGUGAAAUGACCAUCAUGCCCUUGGAAUGGGUCUUGGGGCAUGACAAAGUGGUAUCAAAGCGCUAGGUUGUGAUCUUGAUGGGAACUUGUUUAGUUUACCUUUGGGAAUAGAUGAGUGACGCAUUAGUUUGAGUUUCAACUUCAUCUAGUCCGAUUCUUUUUAUUCUUUACAAUUUUGAUUUGUUUAUUUGGCUUCUUAGUGACUAAUUUAGUUAUACCUGUUGCUUUAUAGGACACCAUGCCACCAAGAAGACCUACAUCUUCCCAAAACAGUCAGGCUAAUGAUGAUAUACCUCCUCCAUAUGAGGUUUUGCCCCCUAUGAGUAUUGAAGGGCUUCUUAGAUACUUAGGGACUUUGGCUGGCUUAGUUGAGCGUCAGGCUAGAGCUAUUGGAAGUAAUGGUCAAGGACAAUCCUCAUCUACUAGGAGUAGCUCCUUUGACGACGUUAAAAAGUUGGGUCCCCCCUACUUUUCUGGUAUUUCAGAUCCAACAGAGGUAGAGGCUUGGAUUAUGAAAAUAGAGAAAUUCUUUGAUGUCAUUGAUUGUUUUGAUGAGCAAAAAGCCUCUUAUGAAGCAUUUAUAUUAGACAAAGAGGCAGACCAUUGGUGGCGCAUGACUAAGAGGCUUUUGGAAAAUCAGAGGCCUAUUGUUUGGAGUUAGUUUAGGGAGGUUUUUUAUAAGAAGUACUUUCAUGACAGUGUUCGAUGACAAAAGGUGGGAGAGCUUUCCCGUUUGGAACAGGGGAAUUUGAUUAUGGCCCAGUAUGAGGCUAAGUUUAUCAAACUAUCACGUUUUGCCCCACAGUUGAUUGCUACAAAUGAGGAAAAAGUAGUUAAGUUUCAGGAUGGACUGAAGUCUUAUCUGAAAAAUAAGAUAUCAAUUCUGAAGCUUAGUGUUUAUUCAGAGGUGGUGGACAGAGCCCUUAUUGCAGAUAAGGAUAAUGAAGAGCUUCACCAGUAUAGGGAACAACAAAGGAAGAGGAAUAGAAAUGAUGGUGCUCAUGGUAACCAAACAUAGAAAAUGUCUGCUCCAAGUAGAAAUCAGAAUAAAGGAAAAGCAACACAAAAUUUAGAUGAGAUUUGUCCUACUUGUGGCAAAAAGCACGGGGGUAGGUCAUGCUAUAGAGAGACAAAAGGUAGCUUUGGUUGUGGAAAACAAGGACAUAUGGUUCGGGAUUGUCCAGAAAGUAAGAAGUUUGUAUUUGGGAAGCCUAAUGAGGAGAAUAAAGAGGAUAGACAGAAACCUAGGGCUCAAGGGCAAGUAUUUUCUAUGACUCAUAGAGAUGCUCAAGCUACUUCUAAUGUAGUGACAGGUACUCUUCAAAUUCACACCUUAUUUGUUAGAGCCUUAAUUGAUCCCGGUUCAACCCACUCUUUUGUUUUUGUAUCUUUUGCUGGUUUGUUGGGUAUGCCGAUUGAUAACAUGGACUUUGAUUUAUUUGUUGCUACUUUGUUGGGAGAUUUUGUUGUGUUUAAUAAAAUACUUAGAGAUUGUUGUGUGAUGAUUGGGUAUAGAGAGAUGAUAGUUGACUUAGUACUUCUUGACCUCUAAGAUUUUGAUGUGAUUUUGGGAAUGGAUUGGUUAACUUCAUACCAUGCAUCUGUUGAUUGUUUUGGGAAAAGAGUGACAUUUAGCAUUCCUGGUCAGCCUGAUUUUAGUUUUGAGGGGAAGCAUGUGGACAAACCACUACGUAUGAUCUCAGUUUUGCGAGCUAGUUCUUUGCUCAAGAAAGGUUGUCAAGGUUUUUUGAGUUAUGUUGUGAAUGAGGAAAAUGAUUUAAAGUUGGAAGACAUACCCAUUGUAAAAGACUAUCUUGAUGUCUUUCCAAAGGAUCUACUUGGUUUGCCACCAGAGAGGGAGGUGGAGUUCACCAUUGAUGUGACACUAGGGACAACUCCUAUCUCUAAGGUCCCUUACAGGAUGGCUCCUUUAGAGCUUAAGGAAUUGAAGAUUCAACUUCAGGAGUUGUUAGAUAAGAGCUUCAUUAGGCCUAGUGUUUCACCUUGGGGAGCUCCUGUUUUAUUUAUAAAAAAGAAAUAUGGAUUUAUGAGACUCUCCAUUGAUUAUAGGGAGCUGAAUAAGGUGACAGUGAGAAACAAAUAUCCCCUUCCUCGGAUUGAUGAUUUGUUUGAUCAACUUCAGGGUGCAUGUGUGUUCUCUAAAAUUGAUCUUCGGUCUAGUUAUCAUCAGUUAAGGAUUAGAAGUGAAGAUGUACCUAAGACUGCUUUUCAAACUAGAUAUGGGCAUUAUGAGUUUUUGGUUAUGCCUUUUGGUUUAAUUAAUGCACCUACUGCUUUUAUAGACUUAAUGAAUAGGGUAUUCAAGCCCUAUCUAGAUUAGUUUGUGGUAGUUUUUAUAGAUGAUAUUUUGGUGUACUCAAAGAGUAGUGAAGAGCAUGAGCGCCAUUUGAGUAUUGUAUUGCAGACUCUCAGAGAUAAAUAAUUGUAUGCUAAACUAAAGAAGUGUAAGUUCUGGUUAGACAAAGUCUCUUUCCUUGGGCAUGUGGUGACCAAGGAUGACAUCUUUGUUGACCUUGGAAAGGUAGAUGUCGUGUCAAGUUGGAGAAAACCUAAUGCUGUGAUCGAAAUUCGAAGUUUCUUAGGACUGGCUGGUUAUUAUAGGCGAUUUAUUGAGGAGUUCUCUAAGAUUGCCCUACCUCUAACCAGGUUGACUCAGAAAAGGGUUAAGUUUUGAGUGGUCUAAUGAUUGUGAACGUAGUUUCCAAGAGUUAAAGAACAUAUUAGCGACAACUCCUAUUUUGACUAUCAUUUCAAGCUUAGGAGGGUUUAUGGUGUAUAGUGAUGUCUCUCGUCAGGCUUUGGGUUAUGUUCUUAUGCAACAUGGGAAAGUUUUAGUUUAUGCUUCUAAACAAUUGAAGCCUUAUGAAAAAAAUUAUCCUACUCAUGAUUUGGAAUUAGCUACAGUGGUUUUUGCACUUAAGAUCUGGAGACAUUUUCUUUUUUGUGAAACUUGUGAGAUAUUCACAGAUCAUAAGAGUUUGAAGUAUUUAUUUUCCCAAAAGGAAUUGAACAUGAGACAAAGGAGGUGGAUUGAACUACUUAAAGACUAUGACUACAUUAUUCAGUAUCACCCAAGGAAGGCGAAUGUUGUGGCUAACGCCUUGAGUAGGAAAUCUGUUGGUUCCUUAGCAGUUAUUAGAGGUUGUCAGAGGCAAUGCUUGGAAUAUUUGACGAGUUUACAAGUCCAUAUGAGAGUUUUGGAUUCGAGAGCUCUUGUGGCAAACUUUAGAGUACAACCAGACUUAGUUGGGAGAAUUAAGGCCCUACAAAAGAACGAUUUGAAUUUAGUGCAAGUUAUAGAAGAGGUUAAAAAUGGCAGUAAGCCUGACUUUGUUUUAUCAGAUGAUGGAAUUUUGAGGUUGGGCUAGACUGUGUGUCCCAAAUGAUGGAGACUUAAAGAUAGAGUUUUUAGAGAAAGCUCAUUCUUCUAAGCUUUCGAUCCACCCAGGAGGGACAAAAAUGUACAAAGAUUUGAAACAGAAUUAUUGGUGGUCAGGUAUAAAACGAGAUAUUGCGCAAUUUGUGGCUCAAUGUUUGGUGUGUCAACAAGUGAAAGUUGAGCAUCAACGACAAGCAGGGUUUUUGCAACCACUUUCUAUUCCCGAGUGGAAAUGGGAACAUAUUACUAUGGAUUUUGUGAGAAGGUUACCAAGGACCUUAGGGGGCAAUAAUGCAAUUUAGGCGAUUGUUGAUCGAUUGACAAAGUCUGCUCAUUUUUUGCCUAUGAAAGUCAAUUUUUCUAUGGAUUGUUUGGCUUCUCUUUAUAUUAAGGAGAUUGUGAGAAUGCAUGAUGUACCUAUUUCUAUAGUAUCUGACAAAGAUCCUCGUUUCACUUCUAGAUUUUGGCAUAGUUUACAGAAAGCAUUAGGUACUAAGUUGAGUUUUAGUACUGCUUUUCAUCCGCGAACUGAUGGUCAAUCAGAGAGUGUAAUUCAGGUCUUGGAAGAUUUGUUAAGAGAUUGUGCUUUGGACCUAAAAGGUAAUUGGGAUGAUUAUUUGCCCGUAGUGGAGUUUGCCUAUAAUAAUAACUUUCAAGCUAGCAUUGGGAUGGCACCUUUUGAGGCUUUGUAUGGUAGGAGAUGUUGAUCUCCUGUUUGUCGGGAUGAUGUUGGAGAGAAGAAAAUUUUGGGGCCUGAACUUGUGCAAUUGACUGUUGAAAAGGUCUCUUUAAUUAAGAAAAGAUUAAAAGUAGCACAAAGUAGAUAGAAGAGUUAUGCUGAUAAUCGCAGACGAGAUUUGGAGUUUAAGGUGGGUGAUAAUGUUUUCUUGAAAGUUUCACCUAUGAAGUCUAUAAUGAGAUUUGGAAUAAAAGGGAAACUUAGUCCUCAUUUUAUGGGACCAUUUGAGGUAUUAGAAAGAGUAGGCACUUUGGCUUAUAAAGUGGCCUUACCCCCAAGUCUAUCUAAGAUUCAUAAUGUAUUCCAUGUUUCGACUUUGAGGAAAUAUAUUUAUGAUCCCUCUCAUGUUGUGGAGUUGGAGCCUAUUCAAAUUUCUGAGGACUUGACCUAUGAAGAGGUACUCGUUCAAAUUGUGGAUGUGAUGGAUAAGGUAAUACGACAUGCUGUUGUCAAGUUGGUAAAGGUCUAGUGGAGCAAUCAUAGUAUCCGAGAGGCCACUUGGGAGUUAGAAGAAGAGAUGAGAGAAAAACAUCCUCAAUUAUUUCAAGACUCAGGUAUGUCAAGUUUAGAGGACUAAACUUUUGUUAAGGAGAGGAGGAUGUUACGCCAGCCCAAGUUUCUUUUUAGGAAAAUAUUAUUAAUAAUAAUAUUAAUGUAGACCCUCAAUUUUGUCCCUCGACACUGGCAUUUAUCCUUCGGGUGUCACAUCCACCCAUCGUUCGCAUAUAGCACCACUUGGGUCCCUUUUGGGCUUAGUCGGUGUCCGAGCCUCAUGUGGGUUUGUGUGUGGUCCAUUGUGGUGCAUAUGUGGUUCAUUUCGGAGGGUCACCAUGGCCAUUUUCCUAGUCGUUCACAUCACGCUAUAGGAAGGAAGUGGGUCAUCCCGAUGUUUUAGCUUAGUUGGGGUUUAUAGGGGCAUGUUGAGGUUCGGAGCACUCGGGCUUGUUUUGAUUGUAUCUCCCUCAUCCAAAAUUGGAAUCAAGAACCGUUUCUUUUUAUGGAUUCCUUAUUCUUCUAGGAACAUUCUGUAAAAUUUUCAAAUUUUUUUGCAACCGGUCGGCUGGUUGGCAGCCGGUUCAGCCGGUUCAUCGAGUCAGCCGGUGUAGAACACUGAUUUUUGGUAAUUGUUUUGAUCAUAUCUCCCUCUUCCAAACUUGGAAUCAUGCAACGUUUUUUUUAAUGGAUUCCUUACUCUACUAGGAACAUUCUGUCAAAUUUUCAGAAUUUUUUUCCAUCGGUUCGACCAGUUGGCAUCCGGUUCGGCCGGUUCGGCCGGUUCAUUGAGUCAGCUGAGGUAAAACACUAAUUCUAGUAAUUUUGAGGCCCAAAUCCUACAUGGCUCAGGCCCAUAAGCUCCAAAUCGGUUUUGGGCAAUGUUGUGGGUCCAUUUUGGGCCUUGGUUUGGGUUCCUUGCAGCCCACCACGAAUCCAUAUGGAUUCUUGGUGGUGAAGCAAGCUGAAAAAACUGAAGGGAGUGAGCUAGCCUUGUAAGUCUAAGAGAAGUAAUGAGGGGUGUGGUUCCCAUGCUGAUGAAGGGAAUUUCGGUGCUGAAGGGGAAGGAACCCAGGAGGCUCAAAUGCUAAGAGGGGUAUGAGUAUAAAAGGUGAGAGGAUAGGAGAGCAAAGUGACCUUUGGACAUUUUUGAAGAGGGGAAAUUCUGCUGGUGAGAAAAACAAAAGGUCAGUAGCAUCUUCUGAGUUGAGAGUGUGGAGGAAGCUUCAGCACUGUGGUUUUUUUGAAGAGGAGAGUGACAGCCUCUCAGUUUUGGAAGUCAUCAUCGGCAUGCACGGAUCAUAUUUGGUGGAGAUUCUAAGGUAAGCACGCUGAAUUUUCUUUACAUAUAGUUUAUCUUCCUCGUCUUCAUAUGUUUUUUCUCCUUCCUAAUCAUCUUUUCUUCCCUUUGAUAUGAAGAUUGUAUUGCUUGGGUGUGGAUAAUAAAGGCCACACAUGAUUGUUGUUGUUUGCUUCCUUGGUCACUUAGGAACUUUCUGACCGAAUUAGGGAUUUUAUACCAACCGGAUGGACCGAUUUGGAACCGGUUCAACCGGUUCAGCACCAUAGCUGGCUGCCUCUGUCAGCCAUGAGGAAUACCUGCAUUUCUUUGUUUGGUUCUCACUCAUCCGAGCUCGGAAUUGAGAACCGUUUCUUUUGUUUGCUUCCUUAAUCACUUAGGAACUUUCUGACCGAAUUUGAGAUUUUUUACCAACCGACUGAACCGGUUUGGAACCGGUUCAACUGGUUCAGCACAAUAGCUGGCAGCCUCUAUCAGCCAUGAGGAACACUUGCCUUUCUUUGUCUGGUUCUCACUCAUCCGGGCUUCCUUAAUCACUUAGGAACUUUUUGACCAAAUUUGGGAUUUUUUACCAACCGGAUGGAUCGGUUGGGAACCGGUUCAACCGGUUCAGCACCAUAGCUGGCUGCCUCUAUCAGCCAUGAAGAACACCUGCCUUUCUUUGUCCGGUUCUCACUCAUCCGGGCUCGGAAUUGAGAACCGUUUCUUUUGUUUGCUUCCUUAAUCACUUAGGAACUUUCUGAUCGAAUUUGGGAUUUUUUAUCAACCGGCUAAACUGGUUGAGAACCGGUUCAACUGGUUCAGCACCAUAGCUGGCUGCCUCUAUCAGCCAUGAGGAACACCUGCCUUUCUUUGUCUGGUUCUCACUCAUCCGGGCUCGGGAUUGAGUGUCAUUUCUUUUGUUUGAAUCCUCACUCAUUUAGGAGUUUUCUAGAAAAAUUUUGGAAUUCUUCUCAAUAGGUUGUACCAGUUAAGAACUAGUUCAACCUGUUCUGUUGGAGGACUUUAGGUAGCCCUUGAUUUUGGCAUUUUUCGAGCCCUUAUCCAUGGGGGGCUCAAACCCAUUUGCUAUAGGGCACUUGUGAGCCAUCUUGAAGGUUUAAGUCAGUGUUUGAUUUCAGUUAGUAUGGGCAAUUUGGAAGUUAUGGGUGGUGUGGUCUAGAUGAGUCUAGUUCGAUUUGUAUGACAUUUGGGGAGUCUCUUACCUCAUUUCAACCAGCUAUCUUCCUUUUUGGCACAAGCUUUGAUGCUUGAUUUUGAAUACAUGUUGCGUGAUUGACUCACCCUCUGCUGCAGCGCUUGGCUAGAGACCACAGGUACGCAACGUUGGCUUUGGUUGUUGAAUUCAUAUGCAUGCAUGGUGCUUAAUCUUGAAUGUUUGUUAUGUGUUUAUCUGUGUUUGGCUGACCUUUUAUGCAGCGCUUGGCUAGGGACCACAGGUACGCACCCAUUGUUUUAUUUGGUUGAAUUCAUAUGCAUGCCAAAUACCAAUUAGGAUUGUGUGAUUCAUGACAUCUAUUUAGCCUAAGGUUUCAUUUGACCUUUGACCCAUAUGCUCCCACAUACCCAAUUCAUUAGUAGAGACCGAGUUUCGGGCCUAGAGGGGUGCUACCUCGCAUGAGGUACCUUCCCAACGGGUAACCUGAUCCCCGGACCCAGAAUCUAGUUUUCGUAGACCGCUUUUUCCAUACUGGGGUCAUUAGGGGUUUUUGUUCUUACUUAAUUUUCCCCAUUUUAAAAACAAAAAUAAAAAGUAAGUGGCGACUCCAAACAACAUCGUUCCUCACCGGGGGCGGGUUUUUCAAAACUGGAAAACACCAACUUUUUCAUUUCUUUCUUUUCUUUUAAAAGCGAGUCGCGUCGGUCCGGUGGAUCGGGUGAGGGUCCACAAUUAAAUUAAUUAAUUAAUUUAAUAAAAUGGAAAAUGGGUGAAAAGGUAAUUUUAUGAAUAAAUACCCUAGGUAUAAAUUAGAAUUUUGUUCUUCCUAUUCUUUUCUGAAUCGCGUUCUUGUUCGUAGAGAGUUCCUGAGAACGUAAUAUUGGAGUCGGAUUUUAGAGUUUGAAGAACAGAUCUUUACAGGUAAGAUUCUAACCCUUGGAUUAAUAUUUUAGAUUCAUAAGUUAAUUUUAAGCACAUUAGAUAUUUUUUGGAAAACCCAAAUCUAGAUUAGGGUUAGUUUUAUUUUUAUUUUUUUUUAAUUCGUUCUAAUAUCAAAAUAGUGAAAAUUUAAGAUUUUGAUUUAUUGUUGGAAAUUGGGAAAUCUUAAGUUUUUAGAUGAAAAAAAAUAUAUUUGGAAGAUUUCAAUUUAGACUAGGGUUAAUUUAUUUUUAAAAAAUAAAUAAAUAAAUAUAUUGUUAAUUGUGGCUUAAGGGAUUAGAAAAAUAUUAAAACAAUUUGAUUUAACAAAAAAAAAAAAAAAACGCGUGUGCACUAGAAGAUAGAAAAAUUGUGGGGAAAAAAAUUUGUUGCCUGCGUGUGGGAACUGGUUAGUUUUAGGUUAAUAAAUAAGAUAUAGUAAUAAUGGUUUAAUGUAAUAAAUAGAAUGAGGUAGUUGCAGGGGGUGCAAUCCAUGUGUGCUGGAAGCAUGACUCAAAAAGUACACCAGCCUAAGAAAUAAAAAAAUAAAGCUUGAAAUAGCCAAGACAUUGUUACUACUUAAAUAACUAAUGACCUCCAAAGAAACUUCUCUUACAUGUAGAAACGUCAACAAUAAAUAUAUAUAUAUAUAUAUAUUAUAGAAUUUUAUAAUGAAAUAAAAGUGCAUUUUAAUUAAAUUAGUAAUGUGUUAUUAGAAACAAAUUGGGAAUUUAUUAAUUUAUUUAAAUAAGGAAUAUAUUAGUUAAAUUAUAGAUAAAUAGUAAUAGUUAUUUCUCUUAUGUUAUAUUAGGUGAAGAUUAGAUUUUCCAGAAUUAUUUUUCUCUCAAGUUUUCAAGGACUUCUUUUGAGGUAAGGAAAAUUAAUGCAGUUAUUAUUAUUUUUUUUAGAAAUAAAUUUUUAUAUACAUCAUUUGAAAAUAUUUUGAAUUAAUAUUCGUUUUAUGCAUCGAUAAAAUAUGUUUUGUAUGAAAAGUAUGUUAGAACUUUAUAUUUUGUUUACAAUAGAGAAAUGUGGAGAUAUUAUGUUUUGCAAAUUCGAAUAAUUGAAAUAAGUGUUUGACUCUGGUUUGUUUGGCCCUUGUCAACGGGAUAUAAUAGUUGACCUUUACAUUUCUUGGUGGGGAAUGUAAUUGAUUUGGAUCCCAACCUCUAAGGGUUUGGUUAUAGGUUACUAGUACUAGUAGUGUUUAGUUCCGUUCACCUUAAAGGAACAAUUUGAGGCUAGCCACCUAUUCGAAAAGUCCCACCUAAUUGGGCUCCAUUUGAUGCUUGAUGAUCAGAGUAAAUAAAUAAUUUGAAUGUUUUGAUCGAAUUUGAUAUGAAAAUGCUUGAAUCAGAAAUGAAAGUGUACAAUUAAAAGUUUUGAAUGAAUUGGCAAAACUGACUCGAAGGUUUAUAAAAAUAAUUAGUUAUAAUAUCUCCUAUUUUGCAAGUGAACUUGAAAUAUUUGAUCCAUGAACUGCAUUAAUGUUCCUUAUUAGGCUUUGAGCUCAUUCCUAUUUGUUGAUUACAUUUUAGGCACCCUUAGUUCGAGCGAGGAGUGAUGGCUAGGUCGGGGAAUGGUCAUCAUUAGGAUUUUGAUUAGGAUGUUAUUUGGACAUUGUUAGCUUAUAAGUUUAUGUUCAUUUGGAUUAUUUGGUUUUUGGAAGCUAUUUAGAUAUUGAGCUUUUAAAUAUUUUUUUUGAUAAGUUUGAAGUUGAGAUUUGGAGAUUAUGAAAAUUUGUUAGCACUUGAUUUAUUUGAGUUUGCAAUCUAUUUGGAUAAUGGAUUUUGGUUGAUGGAUGCUUAGUUUUAAAGUUAAGUUUGAAGAUUUUAGAAUUUUGUUCUGCUACUCUGAACAGGGUUUUGGUAAUUGAUUACUUCCAGUUACAAUAUGAUUGUUUAGGUCAAGUUACACUUUAAGCCUUCGGGUUUGAGGUGUGAAAUGACCGUCAUGCCCUUGGAGUGGGUCUUGGGGCAUGACAGAGUGGUAUCAAAGCGCUAGGUUGUGAUCUUGAUGGGAACUUGUUUAGGUUGUCAAACAUACUUUUUUUUUUUUUUGUAAAUAUCAAAAAACAGUUUUCAAAUAUUAGUUACACGAGGGUACUACUUGUGUGAAACCUCGAAACUUCAUUUAUGGACAUUACUUACUUUAUUUGUGAACAUUAGAGUAUGACAUUAUGUGCACCUUUGAUAUAGUGGUGAUUGUACCUUAGGUACUACCUUAAUCUACCUUAGGUAUUACCUUAACCAACCUUAGGUACUACCUUAGUUAAACUUGGGUACUACCUAUGUGAAGCCUCGAAACUUCAUUUAUGGACAUUACUUAUUUUAUUUGUGAACAUUAGGGCGUGACAUUAUGUGCACCUUUGACAUAGUGGUGACUAUACCUUAGUAACCCUUAGAUACUACCUUAAGUACUACCUUAAUUAGACUUGGGUACUACUUGUGUGAAGCCUUGAAACUUCAUUUGUGGACAUUACUUACUUCAUUUGUGAACAUUAGAGUAUGACAUUAUGUGCACCUUUAAUAAGUGUUACUAAGGUAGUACUUAAGGUACAGUCACCACUGUAUGAAAGGUGCACAAAAUGUCAUGUUCUAAUGUUCACAAAUGAAGUAAGUAAUAUCCACAAAUGAAGUUUCGGGGCUUCACACAAGUAGUACCCAAGUCUAACUAAGAUAGUACCUAAGAUUGGUUAAGGUAGUACCUAAGGGUUAAUAAAGUAGUACCUAAGGUACAGUCACCACUAUAUCAAAGGUGCACAUAAUGUCAUGCUCUAAUGUUCAUAAAUAAAGUAAUGUCCAUAAAUAAAGUUUUGAGGCUCCACACAGAUAGUACCCAAGUUUAACUAAGGUAGUAUCUUAGGUCGGUUAAGAUAGUACCUAAGUUAAAUUAAUGUAGUACCUAAAGGUUACUAAGGUAGUACCUAAGGUAUAGUAAAUACUAAAGAAUAAUAAAUAAAAAUAAAUUAUCUUCGUAUUUUGGGUAGGAGUUAGGGAAAAAUGUAACAGAAUGACAAGAAGACAAGACAUUUUUUUUUAUGAAGCCGAUAUUUUGGAUUUCAGCUUUCCGUUUGAGUACGCUUUGCUAUAGCAAAAUCAAAAUCAUAGUUGCGCCUAUUGAAGCCAUCUUUUAACUGGACAUUCCUAGGAUGGAGUGUUCCAUUUGGCUGUUGAGAAAGUAGACAAGAAAGAAAAAUGCAGGUUGGAGUUUUGGAUUAAGGGUUUCUUUUCUCAAAUUAGAUAAAUUUUUGGAAAUUUUAGAUGGGUUUUAGGAUCGUCUAGUUGAUAAAGCCGAGAGAGAAAGAGAAAGAGAGAUAUGUUCCCAACCUUUGAGAGGAAGAAGUUUUAGAUUUGGGAAAUUUGAAAUGGUUCCCGAGUUGAGUGUUUUUUGUGUUUCAAAUUUGAGAAGUUUCAAAUUUUUGAAAAAUAUAUAAAUAUGCAAAUUGGAGUUUUAAGGGUUUCUUUUCUAAAAUGAGAGAAAUUUUGGAAAAUUUUACCAAGGUCUCUCCAGUUCAGCUGGGUGAGGAAGUGAAGAAAGAUGAGAGAAAAUGUUCCCAAAUAAGAGAGAUGAAAAGUUUUUGAUUUAGGAAAUUAGAGGUGUUGUCGGGACUGGUGUUUUUUGAGAACUUUUAGAUUCCAAUUUUUGUGUUUUGUUUAAUUUCAGAAGGUCUUGUUGACAUGGAAGCUGAUUUGUUGUUGACAUGAAGACAUUGAGGGGCAAUCUGGGAAGAGAAAAUGUAAACAUGACAUAGUGCACGAGAAUGAUAUUAUUUUCUCCAUUAAUAAGAAAAUCUCAUAUUUCAUAUACUUAAGUUUCGAAAAGCAUGUAAUUUUCAAAUCACAGGUGAAAAACACAAGUUUCCCAUAAAUAUGCUUAAAGCAUGUUUGAUAACAAUUUUGAAAAAUAAUUUUUGACAACGGUUAUUUAAAACUGUUUUUUGAUGUUUACUAGAAAAAGAAAAAAAACAUGUUUGACAACCUCUAAUAUUUUAAACCUAUCUUUAAUAUUUUUAAAAUAAUUUUUAUAUCUAAUAUUUUAUUUUUAAUAAUUCUAUAUAUUUGUAUAAUUAUUUUUUUUAAAUAAUCGUCAAAAAAUAAGUGAAAACAAGUAAAGAUGAUAUCCGAAAACAUUAUAUUUUUUAUUUUUAAAAACAGAAAACAAUUUUUCUUAUUCUCAAACAGGUUUUCCUGUUUUUUACUCUAAAGAAGAAAAAACUAUUGUCAAACAAUCCCUUAGAUACUUGUGUUUUAUCAAGUGGUGAAAUAUCUUCGUAUCAAUUAUAUAACAACUCAUAAGAGUAGGAGAAAAAGAGACAAUUUUAAAAGCAAACAAGUGGAAAUUAUUAGAAAAUAGGCGAUUAUAUAUAUAUAUAUAUAUAUAAGUUUUUAAUUCCGUUAAUUAGCAUAUUUAUAAUUUUAUUUAUUUAUGUAUAAAAUUUAAUUUUUGGAGAAAUUUUAGCUAUUCAAUCAAAAAUUAAAAGAGUAAAUGUAUUUACUCUAAGCCUCAUGGUGCGUGAAUUAAACCAACCUUCAAAGAAAAAUAGAAAAAAAAAAAGUGAAUCAUAAUAAAAAUGAGAGUAGUCAAAAUCAAAAGGAGAAUCAAAUUUGAUUUCCAUAUUAGUGAUUUUUUUAAUUAUAUUAUCAUUGUAAAAAAUAAUUCAAAUGCAUUAAUAAAUUGAAAAUAAAAUUAACUCUUAUUCUCAUUUUUUAUUCCAAUGUUUCAAAUAUAACUACCAUUUGUUGAUUAGUGUUGCCAAAUCCAAAUAAUUGCAUAGCAAUACAAAGAAAUAGAAUUGAACAUAUAAAACACAAGUUUCUCAAUAAAUAAAACCAUAGCGAAAGUGUAGGUAUAUGAAUAACACCAAUUUUAUCAUACAAUCUUAGCCAACACUUUUUUUUUUAUAGUAUCAAAAAGCUACUAAAAAAACAUUUCUUUUCAUCACCAAGAAAUUACUUUUUUAAAAUGAAAAAAAUACUUUCAUUGAAUGAAUACAUAAUUCGUAUUUGGAAUAAUUUCUUAUUCUUAGUUUUAAUUAAAAGCUAAAAGUCGCAAUUUUUUAAAAAUAAUAUUGAUAUUAUAAAAAAUGUAUUAAACAUAAAAUAAAAUAAAAACACAUUUUUGAAUAAGUCAAAAUAAAGCUUUAAAAAAAAAACAUUUUCUUUAAGUUAUUUUUUAAGUUAUAAAUUGUUUAAAUAAAAUGAGCGGCAUAAAAAAAUUUUAUUGAGCUUUAAAAAUGGUUUUUGACUACUCAAAAUCCACCAAAUUGGAACCAUAGUCCCCAAUAACUUGGGGCCAGAAAAAUUGGCAGAAGGUAUCAGUUAAAGUUCAGUACAUGCUACAUGCAUCCUGUUAAGGAACAUAAAAGCAAUUCCACAAUGCAUCACAUUUGGAGUUUUGGAUUUGGGUUUCUGAACUAAAAUGAGAGAAAUUUUGGAUUAUUGAGAACAAAGAAAGAUGGGAGAAAGCUUCCAAAUGAGUAAAUUGAAAACUUUUUUUUUUCUGAGAAGUUACAGAUUCAAAUUUUAGUGUUUUUUUCUUAAUUUUAGUGGUAUGGGAUGAUGGUGAGCUAGAGGCACAAAGGGGCAAUUUGGGCAUAGAAGAUGAAGCCAACUCAUAGUGCACAAAAAUGAUAAUACUUUUCAUAUUAAAAACUGAUUUUUAUAUUAAAUUUUAUACAUCUAUUUAAAAACAAUUAAAAUUUUCUGCAAUUUUCAAUUAUAUUAUAAGUACUGCCUCUCAUGGGUUGAUACUACUAGUGAGUGCAUGAAAUUAUUAGGGAGAAUUGUGUUUUGGGCCCAGCUGGGCCCAAAAAUUAACAAUUGGUCCAUAGAUGUUACAAAAUUAAUAGAAAGACUAUGAGAUAUUAACUGACCAAUAUGCCCUUCAUUAUUUCCAAGUUAGAUGGUUGUAAAUUAAAGUGGUUUCAUAGGUGUUAAACUUGAAAUGCCAUGUCAUCUGACUGAAAAAUCUGAAAUAAAUGGCAAAAAGGGUAUCCACCCUCCUACCCCUUUCUCUCCCUCCAUAAACACCAUGGUCAACAACAAAGCCAACUGUGAAUGUCCCCCAAUCGAUUUCUUCAACAGCCGAGGAUUGUGAGCAACUCAGAAAAGCCUUUGCAUGUAUUUUAUCAUCAUCAUUCCCAAAUCAAAAUGAGAGUAGGUGUGAAUUAUUUUUUCUCACAUUUUGAUUUGAUCAUGUUGGUUCCUUUGAUGAUGUGGUGGAUGUUUGUUUACUGGAUCAAUACAAGGUUUGAGGAAAGACAUCCGUUUUGAUCUCGUGUUGGGGUGUUCUUAAAAAAAUUUGAACUUAAUAACAGCGUGUUUUUGGGUGCAAGGUGGGGUAUAAAUGAGGCUUUGAUCAUAUCCAUCUUGGCUCAUAAGAAUGAAGCACAACCUAAGUAAAUUGAAGAAACUUACAAUUAAUUUGUUGGAAAAGAUCUCCUAAAAAAUGGCAUUUCACCUGUUUGAAAAUUCUUCACUUUAUAAUCUGGUUAUUGGGUUUAUAUUCUAGAGAAUAAAUGGGUAUGGUGCAGGCGGUGAGCUGUGGGGACUAGUUAGUGCACUUUUGAUGAAUAAGAAACUAAAUUAGGUUUCAUUUUCCCCCUUUUCACUGAGCCAUGACAUUGGGAAGUGGUUAACCGACCCAUAUGCACUCGUUAAGUUGUACUUAGGUUGAUUUCCUGCAACUGUACAAGACAUUUACACUAAGUAUACAAGGUCAAUGUACUAAAUGUACAAGGGUGUACAAGGGUGUGUAUCUUAAGGGUUUUCAAGUGAUUUUGAAGAACUUACUCAUUUACUUUUUCCAAUCGUGGGGGACAUUCCUCACACAUAUUGCUUGACAACACACUCAUUGCACGCAUUUCAUUUGAUGUCUACCAUGUUAAUUCAUUCUAUUAGCUCCCCUACUAAUAAUGCAUAUGAACCAAAACGAGUGUUAACUUUUUCCUCAUUUUUCCUUAUCCAUGAGAGUGGAACCAUUGUUUUCCCACCCAUAUGCAUUUGUUCGGUCGUCCCUAUAUUGGAUUUCGUUACUAUACAAGGCAUUUACACUAAGUGUACAAUGCAAAUGUGCUAAUUGUACAAGUGUGUACAAGGCUACCUAUCUUGAAGGAUUUCAAAUUUUUUUCAAAAAAUUCCUUACUCAUUUCUUGUUUCAUAGGGGGACAUUCCUUGCACUCAUUCCUCAUUUCCCUUCGUACACAUUCAUUGGAAUGUGCUAGUACACUUAUGAUGAAUGGGAACCUAAAUUGGGUUUCAUUUUCCCCCUUUUCACUGAUAGAAAGUUAUGUCAUAUGCUUAUUGGAAAUUCAAUAAUGGAGCAAUGAUGUCAUGUUUUAUCAUGCCUCAUUGAGCAUUGAAUUUUACAUAGCCUCCAAAAUUAAGUUCUUGUAGUUGUAAAGUUUCCAUUAGUGUCUACAUAACCAUGCAUGCCUUCAUGAUGUUGUCCGUGUUUACACCUGCAAAGGCAAUGGUCUGUGUGUAACCUAGUGUGUUGUUCUUCAACUUGUGCCUAGGAUGAUGGUGAUUACUACUCAAAAAGUGCUAUUUGAUAGCCUAUAAUUAAUCCUUUUAAACACUUUUGAGUAGUAGUUUUGGCCUUUUAACUCAAUUGGCAUGUUAAGGACCCUUGAAAGCAAUUUUGAUCACUUUGUGUAAGUUUUGGUGUUUUUGUUAGUAUUUUGAUCACCAAAGCAAGUCAAGACUGAGGAGAGCUAUGAGGAAUCUUGGGCAAAGCUUAGAAGUCAUUUGCCAAGAGUAAAUCCGGAUUGCAAGGAGAAAAAGCAAAGAGAAUCUGCCAUAAAGCCUAUUCUUGAUGACAGUCGUAGCAGCCACUUUUGGAGCACUUUCUGAAGUCCAAAUGAUGCAUGCUAUAUACCAUUUCAAAGCUCAGGAAGUCAACAAUCCAAUGCUUCAAACGGUGUGCAAUUCGGAGUUGAAAUGAAGAAGUUGCAGUCAUUACAAGCCAAUCACUCUGAGCUGAAGGAAGCAUUUUGCAAAGUGUUGCGAAAUCACCCUUUUGUUGCGAAGUGAUUUCGCAGCCUUUUUGAACAGUGUGAUGUUUCUCCUUCUGACGAUACCCGAUUUAUGCCACGAGAAGGAAGCUGGGAACCUCAAGGUGGAAGCCAACUUCGCAGCCCUGUGAAGAUAGCUUGGUGUUGCGAAAUUAUUUCGCAGCCCUCUUGAGUGUCUGCGAAAUCUCGCAGACACCAUUUUUCUCCUGCGAAAUGGUUCCUGAAGCCUCCCGAUAUUUGCUACCGACAUUGGGAGAUAUUUUCCAUUAGAUUUUUGUUGUCUAAAUCCCAAAAUACUCCUUGUAAACCACCAAUUACAUGAUUCCUUAGUUUUUAAGUUAGUAAAAAGACUAAAUAUCUAUGUAAUAAUUAGUUUUAAAUUAUGUACAUAUAUAUACCUCUCGGGAGCCUGUUCUCAGAGAGGAGUUCCUUCUGUAAAAGUUUGGGUAAGCAAGUAAAGUCUAUUUUCUUUCUACUGUCUUACCUUCUCACUUUGUAUUUUCAUUUUCUUACUAAGUUAUGAACUCUCUGAGGAGUUUUCCCCAGAGAAUGAGUAACUAAACCUCUAGUUCCUUGGAGCUAAGGUUGCCGGGGAAGGUUCCAAGUGCAAGAAUGCAAAGCUCUGUGGUUUUUGCUAGUAAUGUAGAGGAAGUGAAAUCCUUUAGUGAUUUCUGUGUUUUUAGUUAACUUAAAACACCUUAGAGUCACCUGGGCCAACACUUGGUAAGGCAAGUGAUUUCCAACCAUGGAAAUGCACUAGUUUACCCCUUGCGAGCCUCUGGGAGGUGACUUCAAGGUAGGAUUUUCUAGAAUAGCCAACACUUGAUAAGCUUUUGGACUCCAAGGAGACAUCCAUUAGUUAUCUCUUGCGAGCUUUUGACGGGUAAUCCAAGGUUAAAGAUCACCUUGAAUGGUUAAGGCUUAGUGAGAGGCAUGAACCAUUGCAAGUUGCAUCAGUGAGAGAAUUAAAGUGAAAUCUAAUUGAAGGAGUCUUUGUACAACACCGGUUAGAGAUUUGACUAUAUGUUGAAUCUCUAACGCGAGAAAAUGAACCAUCUGACCGGAGCUAUGUCUUUUGCAUGAGAAACCACCCCAGUGAACCUAAAUCUCCAAGGAAUGUUUUCUUCCUAAAUUAUUCCAAACUUCUGUUGUGUUAGUUAGUUUAAGUCUAAACCUUUACCAAUCAAAGUUUGUGUUUUACUUCUUAAGCUAACUAUGAAAUGAAACAAAACCAAUUCACUUGGAAUUGGUAUCAUUGAGAGCUUGUUAAUCUUUCCCAGUGGACGAUCCUAGAGCCACUAUACUAUAGUAGCUUUUUCUUUGCUACCCUAGUAUAUGGUGUUAUAGGUUAUAAAUUUUGUUGAUUACUCCCUCAAUCAAGGAGCACCAGCUGGACACAAAUCAGCUGAGACACCAAUUGGGCACGAAUCAGAUGGAUUUUAAAAUAGGUUGUUUGUAGGUUUAGCAUAUCACCUUGAUGCUUUGGUUUGUUAUUUGUAGAUUGAUGGAUGGACCAAGCUUGGUUUACAAGCUCGACCAGAUUGUAGCAUCACACCAUGCCCAAAUUGUCCUAAUUGAGCUUAUUGAAGGGUGCUAUAAAGUACUGAAAACUUCUAAAACAUUGUAAUGUACAUUUGUUUAUUAAAGUUAUAUUCUUUCAAACCUCUUUUCUUCCUAUGUUCAUCAUCCUUACCUUCGAUGUCACAUAAUGUUGACUAGCAUGACAAACUAAUUUCGAGUGAUAUAGUAACUUCAAAAUGCCUUGAUUUAUCUAAGUGUUGUAUGUGUGCUUAAAAAACAGCAAGAAAACAUCCAAGUUGUGACAGUAGGCCAUAUUAAUUUAUUAUGACUCAGUUAUUGCUACAGUUUCAAGGCACCUUGGAGGAUGCGAGAGUGACAUUACCCUCUUUGUUUUGUUCGCUUUUAGAUUGAAAUUUUGGUUCGAAAGACCGAGAACUUUGAUGAGUUGAUGGUUACUGCAGUUGAGGAAAGGGAAAUUGGAGACUACAAGGAACAAAACUAAAUUAAGAUGUUCUGAUCAUACUUGUUUUAGGAGUUUUUAAUUAAAUAUUUAAAAAAAAAACAAUAUCAAUUGAUAUACAAAAUUCAUAAUGUUUUUUUAAUUAUUACCAUUACUUAAGUCUUCACAUUUGCAUUAUUAUGUGAGUUAUUAUGCACUCUUCGUCGCCUCCCACUCCUAUCAGAUGGGGCCACAAUCAUAGAACGCAAAGGCAACUGGUCAUAGACGACUACUUCUUCAUCAGCUGUUAGUUUGGAAUAACAACAGUUUAGUUAAAUGAAGGGGACUAUAAUAUGAGUUAUUAUGUACACAUUGAUGCAGUAAUGAAUGUCCCACAUACUGUUACCAAUAACUGUUGGAUGCCGAAUUGGAGUGUCUGGUACGUCUUCAGUGCCAUGGAAUGCCAUAUCAUCUCGGUCAUAGUCUGAAUGUUGUUCGACCUCGGGAAAGUCAUAGGCUGCAUAGCCUGAGUGACUAGCAGCAAGCAAAGGUCGACUUCUUUCCCUUCGGGCAUCCAAUCUAUGCAUCAAACCACGCAUGAUGCCAAGCUGCUGCUGAAUGGCCUUUUGAUAUGCAUUUAUUGCACGUUCUGCUGCAUAGUACUUCUCUAAUAUUUCUUGUGACAUGUUAACGAAUUGCUUGAAGAUAAAUUACUCUAAAAUAUUGAAGAAAAUAUUCAUAACCAGUGAUUUACAAUAUUCCAGUAAGUAAACCUAAUUGUAAUGGCAUUCAGACGGAUUUAAUUCGUAAAGUAACAAACAGUAUGCGUACAUGACUACUUGUCAGGCCACUCUCAUACUCCACAUGUGUGCAGGGCAAUGACGAAUCAUCAAACCCCUACAGUUGAGAACAUGACGCAUAUUAAGAACACAUAAACCUUGAAAGUAUUCAAUUUGCAUGUCAUCAAAUUACAUAAUAAAAUGCAUGUAGAGUAAAUGACUACCUCGCCAUGUCCGAAACUACCAAACUCACUGAUCUCAGCAGCUAAGCGCUCCUUUAUCAACUCAUCUGACCAUGAGGAGAAGAGGGGCACUGUCAUAGGAACAUGAAUGGAAGGAAUCUUGAAUUUAAUUAUGUAUUGGAGCUGCACCAUGGAAAUAAACAUAUGUGCAUUUGUUACUUGCUAGUAGUGAUGUUAACAAUUAAAAAGUGGCCAAGUAAUCAAUGUAAAAGAAGGGCAAUACCUAGAGAAAGAGAAUGCAACCAUGUACCCACACACUGUUUCGUUGCUUAAAUCGUCUUAUACCCUCAACAAGCUGGUCAACAAAAAAUUGGCCCCAAUUGACAUUGUUUCUAAAACCAUCUUCAUGGAUGGUAUGCCACAAGUUUUGACAUCCAUCUAUCAUUGAGGUUGAUGCCAAUAUUGUCGCACAUGCGUAGUAAAGGAAGCAUCUACGAAACUCCUUCCCGACAGGUAAGUUAAGGAGUCUCUCCUCACAAGUGUUGAGUGUACCGAAUGGAUGAUCAAAUGAGGUUGAUGCAAUUUGUAGAAUCCAUCCGGUUGUCGGGAGGCCAAAUACAAGGCCCACAUCAGCAGCUGUCAGAUCAUAGCUUUUGUCGGAUAAUAUGUCUAUGCGUUUGAAGCCAACGUUAAAAUGGUCGAUAAGCCAUAGACAUAUAUUAUGUCGUAUCUCCUUGCAAUUUAAGUUUAGAAGACCUCCAAAUUGAAGGUCUCGAACCACUUCCAAUUUCUCAACUGGGAACAUGUUGCAUAGUUUUAGGAAUCUUGAAGAUGAACAACGUGUGAACAAUCUGGUGGCCUGCAUUAGAAGUGUGGGAGAUAAUUAGUAUCUUACACAUGAAUUUUAGUAAUCAACAAAAAAAUAAGAAAGUCAAUAUGAAUACAUAAACGUGGUAAAAAAAAAAUACAAUUGAAUGAACUAACAAACAAAAUAAUGUGGAUGAAUAAUUUACUAGUGGAUGUUUAUGUAAUAAUGAAUAUGUAACACCCAUAACAAGUAACUGUGUUAAGUAGGUUAAAAUAUCAAGUAUCCGAAAUAAGUUAUGAAAAUUAAAAACCAAGAAAUAAUGCAAUACCUCCGCAGUGGCCAUUGAAGAAUGAAUUUAUUGUUGAAUGCUUGAACCUUGGAAUAACCGGUAACUUCAAAUGGGUGCUAUAGUAGUUAUCGCUAAGCUGGAAAGACUAAUAAUAAAGGGAAAGGUCAUUUGACUAUUCAUACCAUUAAUCAGUUGGAUAAAUUUGGUAAUGGUAUACCAUAUUCAAAUUUAUAAGGUAAAAAUAAAUAAAAUAAAUAAAAAUAUGGCAAUUUAGGAAAGCGUUAACAGUUUGGGCGCAAACACGUGUAUGAACUACUAUCCUACUGCCAACUGAUCAUAUAAAUUACUAGAUAAUAACUGGAAUGGUUACAACGUGCGUAACAAGUAUAUCUCAUUGAAGACAAAUUGAAAGACAAUUUUUAGUACAUGUUAGGAAUUCAUGACACAUUCAAAUAGGUGCAACCAAAAAUGCUUGAUAAUGUAGACACACUGAUGGAAUUAAAUAACAAGUGAAAAGAAACCACAUUCAAAUUGCACUUUCAAUUAAUUAGGUUAAUCAAAGCAAUUGUAAAUCAUGAAAAGAACAAAAUAGUGCAUCGUGCCUAUAAAGAGGCCAAUACAUAAGAACGAAAAUCAACAACCCCAUACCAUAUACCCUACAAUAGAAUGUAUGGGAUGAUACAAAAUAUGAGAAUCGUACAAGCACAAAAAAGACACAUGUCAUGGCAACGGAUUAUUACAUUUAGAGUAGUUGUGACCUAUGCCAUUGCAUCGAGAGCAAUGAAUUGCUCUCUUAUGACUAAAUUGUGACUCAAUGCGUCUUUGGCGGGGUCUUCCUGGAGGAUGUCUCACAUGAGGGGGUUGGAGAGUAGGAAAGAAUUUGCCCGCACAAUCUUGCAAACUCCCAUCGUCACAAACUUUCGGCAUAUUGUGUGUUGGUAAUAGUUGAAUGAUUACUACCCAAUUAAUUAUAAUGGUUAAUUGGGUAGUAAUCAUAUUCAUUUAACCCAAUUAAUGGUUUUAAGCUAAUUAUAAUGGUUUUAAGCACCUUUGAGUAGUAAUCAUAUUCAUUUAACCCAAUUAAUUCAUUAAGGACCUUAGUAAUUGGUUUUAACCAUUUUGUGGCAAGUUUACAUGUUUUUAUCAGCUUAUGAAUCAAUUCAAGCAUGCCAAAUGAUGGAGGAGCUACUUGGACAAGUUAUGGCAAAGCUUUUGGAAGCUCAAAUUCAUGAAGAACCAAGCUUUGGAACUCCAUAUCCCUUUGCCAAAGUCGUUCAAAGUAUGCAAUGAAAGAACAAUGGAGAAGAGGAAAACAAAGUGAAAAAAUCAGAGGACAGCAGCUGCAAUCUUCUUUCGCACUUUUGGAGCACUUCCCGAAGUCCAUUUUUUACAUGCUAUAUACCAUUUCAAAGCUCUGGAAGUCAAAAAUCCAACGCUUCAAACCGUGCAUGAUUUGGAGUUGAAAUGAGGAAGAUAUGGCCUUCGGAAGACAACUGCUCCAGGUUAUGCGAAAUUCGCAUAACACCUUCAAAAUUCGCAUAACCCAUGCGUGUUGCGAAUUUUCCUCUGCUUUUGCCGACUCCACUUUAGAUAUUUUCCUUUGUAUUUUGUGAUGUAAUUUCCUUUCUUAUCCUUGUAACUAACCAAUCACAAGCUUUUGCUUUUGUAAAGACUAUAUAAGAGGUGGAAAUCACCUCUUGGAAGAUAUAGAAGAUAUAUUACGUUUUACACUUAGAAUAGAUACAGAGCUCUCUCGUUUCUCCUGUUCUUUCCCAUUUCUAUUUUCUUAGUAGCCAAACAGCCUCUGAGGGCUUUUCCUUAGAGGAUGAUUGGCUAAGACUUUUAGUUUCUCAAAGUAUGGAUGUUAUGUGAUGGCUUGGAUGCAAUCCCAUGGAAAUUUCUCGCACCCGGAAGGUAAGGUAGACGUUUUUCAUUAAAGGUUCAUUAAUGCAAAGUUUGGUUUUUAUUUCCUUUGGACAACUUCCAACGGUCAAUACUUGAUAAGCUUUUGGAUUUCUAUCCAUUAGUUAUCUCCUACGAGCUAUUGGAAGGUGAGGUUUUCAAUUCCAAAUUUUGCAUUAAUCCGUUAGAACCAAUUUCAAUGGUCAUUAAAAGGUGAGUUUAUCACUUGGAAUGACUUUGAGUUGCCAAUAUUUGGUAAGCUUUUGGCUAUAGACCAUUAGUUAUCUCUUACGAGCCAUUCAAAGGAAGUCUAAGGUGAAUAACCAUUGAUGAAAUUCACUACCAUCUGUUUUGCCAUUUUAAAGGAUUAAAACUUGAUUUGCUAAAUCCAUACCGGUUUGGGAAGCAAGCAUCACCAUAGUUGCAACCCCAACGCGAGGAGCCUAUCCUGAGAUUUCCAAUUUGCAUAAGAGCCAGAGCAUAGCUAUCCUAUCUUUGAGAAACUUGUUUUUACACCCUUUCAUUUUAGUCUUUAAUGUUAGCUUAGAUUAGUUUAAAUCUUUCUAAAACAUUUACAUCUUCUUUUAAAGCUAACAUCCAUAAGAAAAUCACCUAUUUUCCUAAUUUGAAUAUCACUAGUGUUUGCGAAAACCCUUCCCAGUGAACGAUCCUAGAACCACUAUGCUAUAGUAGCUUGGCUACUUUAGUAAUAGUAUCUAAGGUAUAAAUUUUGUUGAUACGCCUUUAAAGUUAAGCUACCAUGAUUCGAAUCAUUGAAAUUGACCCAAGUAAAUCAAAUGUUGCAUAAAGACAUGAAAACAUGGGUCAAUAUACUCAUACACGUUGUGUCUCAGUGUGCGGAUGACAGCACAUACGUGUGAACAUGGCCAGCUGGACAUUUUCCAUGUCAUGCAAGUACACGUACGUUGAUUGAUAUCGACAACCAAAAUAAACCUCCCCAGUAAACACCUUAAACGUCUCCCCCAAAUAGGGCAACACACUAAUAGGACCAGACCUCGUGAUAUUUGACAUUAGCUUCUCUUCAAUUUUCGGUCCGACCACACUCUUCCACUUUUGUGUACCACGCAUAUGGGUGUCCAACAUGGCUACAAGCUUAUCCAUGUGCAUUAACAAUAACGUAUAAAUUGUUUGGUGACGCUUAUCUCUUAACCACACAUUGAAGGACUCUACAAUGUUAGUUGUCAUUUUAUCCCAUCGUUUUUUAAGAAACUUUGACAUUGCCCAAUGUUCAGGAUUGUUUUCCGCAACCCAUUUUGCGAGGCUGUCAUUGAAGCACACAAGUUUUUCAAAUGCCUCGUUGUGGUCUAUCUCCAACCUAGCAUAUGCAAUGUUGUCCAAAAGUAACAAAGCAUCUUCUUUCCCUUUUUUUCCUCUAAUGUUUUGCUUAUUCAAGAAGCUAGAAAAGUUUUCAUUUGCAUGUCAUAACAAUAUGCAUGAUUUCCUGUCCCGAACAACUCGGAAACACUACGCAAGAUUCCCUAAUGUCUAUCUGAUAUAAUAACAACUUCUUUACCAUCUAAGACUCCCUUUAAUUUCUCCAAAAACCAAUACCAGUCCUCAUAAUUUUCUGAACUAACCAUACCAAGGGCUAGAGGGAACAUUCCAUCAUCUGCAUCAUAUGCAAUGGUGGACAAAAGAGCCCCCUUAUAUGGUCAGCUUAGAUGGCAAGAAUCAAUAGUCAAUACUAGUCGACACCCCAUGAUGAACCCUUGAAUUGAAAAUGCAUGGGCAAUGAACAAUUGCAUGAAGUGACCUUCAUGGGAAGUGUACACAGCAAUUGUGCCGGGGUUGAUUUCCCUUAGCCUAUGGCAUAACCAAGGGACAAGCGUGUAGGACUCACGUGAAGCUCCAUAUGUGCGCUCGUUUGCCUUUUCUUUAAGGUGUCAUACUUGGUUAUAUGUCAAUUGAACUCCAUGAUCACGUUUAAAAUCCUUACAAAUUUGACAGGGAAGAUAGUCUAGAGUGGUUCUAAACACAUCUUCAACAACAACCGCGUCUCUCUUUGAAGAAACCUUGACCUUGGAUGAACACUCAUCCUAAGCGAUAUGAUUAUGAUUCACUUGGUCAGUAUGAACUCGCAAGAUGACAUUUCCCUCUACAACGUGAGUUGUUAUCUUUUAAGGACAACCCUCAACUGAACACUUUACAGACAUAUGCGUAAGGGAAUUUUUCUUGUACUUGUAUUCAAACCUUCCACCUAAUGACAUUUGGUAAAUUGUGUUGCGAAACUCCUUAGCAUUUUUAAAUGUAUGUCCCGACCCUAAUAUUGUCUCACGAAAACAAAUCGAUUCCAAAAGGGUGUACUCACUAUCUACACAAUGCGACGCAAAACCUAUUGAUAGCAUCAUAGUAUUAGGAAUUGCAUCGCAUGAUGCAUUAAAGGAAGGAAAUGGCGCAGGUGGACCUCUACAUUUACAUACAUUAACAUAAUUAGACUACGUGAUGCGUAAAAUUGAUAUUCACAAUAUUUUAAAUAGACAUUCAUGUUAAAGUCCACUACCCAAUUGCCAACUCUGUAUUCGGUAUAUUUGCUUCAAUGGCUUCCACACAGGGUAAGUCUACUAGGUAUACAUUUGCAAAGUCAUCACUGUGGGAAACCACGUUAUCCAAGUCAUCCUCAUCUUCUAAAUCUUGGAUGACUCUGGGGUUGAACUUGAGGGUUUAGUGCAUCUUCAUCGCAUCAAAGGAGAUGUCGAAUUUCUCUAAGAUUUUUUUGGUGAAUUCUUCAAAUGACAUUCCUUUAUAUAUGUGGAUACCUUUGCUUCUUCCACCCACGUAUUCCCAUUGCCCAUCAUUUUUUUGGACAAGUUUGCCUCCCACGAAAAUGUAACAAUAUAUCCUAUUAGUUGUGUCCAUCAACCUAUACAAACAUAGCACAAAUUUCAUAUUAUAGAACAAACAAUUGUGCAUAUUAUAGAAAAUGGGGUUGAUCUUCUCUCUCAUGUGGCCUUUUGCUUUCAAGUUGACAUUAUUAUUAGUCGCCAUGUCAAGUUUAUCAGCCAUCAUUUAUACAUAUACUUUUCCUUUUGUUACUUUACUUAUUCUGUUUUUUCACAAGUUGGUUGACUCUUUCUCUGUUUUUGCAUAUUGUUAUGACCCUCUGGAUCCUAAUGGGAACAUCACAGUUACUUUUGACACUCAUAAAUGGACAGAUGAUGGCAAUGUGGUAAGUGUUUUGACUCAUGCUCAAUAGUCAACUUCAAAUUUCUCUGAAUUUCAUUCUGGUUGAAUUGUAUGCUGAAAAUAAUAUUGACUUACAUGAGUUUGCUAUUCAACAUCAGUGAAUAGUAAACAUGGAUUGUUGGAAACCAUUUUGGAUUUCAAUGAGAAAUCCCUUGAUUCAUUUGUUAUGUAUUGAAUCCCUAGUUGUUGGUCUGAUUUAAUAGAAUUAAGGGACAUUGAACUAGCUUUGAACUAAUUUGUUUCUUUAUUUGCCAUUUAUAUUCAUGUUAGCUACAGAUUUCAUGAAGUUGGAAAUGAUAAUCUAUCUACACAUACUAAGUAGCCCAUAAUAUCUCAUACUAUAGGGUCACCAAAACUUGGGUUUUAUCGAAGAAAGUUAACAAACGAACUAUCGUACUUAACUAGACUACCACACGAGGAAGCCAAUAUAAUGCUAAAAGAUUUUAUUUGAACCAAAUGAGGAAAAAUAUGUCUACAAAAGGAAAAUCAAUUUGCAUUGACUAAUCAUAUAUUAGAAUCAAAUUGCACGUAGAAAACAAACUUCUUAAAUGAAUAUGCAAUGCUAAAUCAAACAAACAUCAGUGAACCAAGUAAAAUGUAGGCAAAAUCAAAAAAUAUUUUUAUGUCAUUUUCAUCAUCACCAUUAUCGUUCAUUCCAAUUGCGGGUUGUCAUAUUGAUGGAGAAACAAGUCAAUCAUGGUGACAUCAUAGGUUAAUAAAAAGAAGUGGGUUUUCUAUGUCAAGCCUAUCAAUCAUGUAAAUUGAACACAAACAUAAUUAUCUAAACAAAAACUGUUGAUACCACAACAUGCAGCUACAAUUAACCUAUGAAGAUCCUCACUAUUUCAAACUGUGAGCCAUGUCUUAGAAACACCAUAACCCACAAUGAAAGAUGACUAUCAAGAGAUCAAGUCAUCCACACAAAAUAAAGAGUUGAUAAUCAUAAUGCUAAAUCAAAAAACACCCAAUAUAUAUAUAUAUAUAUAUAUAUAUAUAUAUAUAUAUAUAUAUAUAUAUAUGUUAAACCAAAAAACAUUAGUGACGGGGUUUAAGCUUAAAAAAAAAAGACCGUUUUACCUGAUGCUAAGAGAAGCUCCCUCCUCAAUUCAAACAAUAAGCAACCUCCAGAAAGUCCCACCAAACAUCAAAUAUCCAACAAUGCUCAGCACAGAGGGCACAGUCGAUGGGGAUCGAUCAAGGAGCAAUAUAUGGCAAACUGAAAUCGCAAGAUAAAUUAGGGCAAUGUAUUUGGGCUAAAAUCAAAUGGUCCGGAUAGCCGAAAUGAAGCAUAAAAUGAAAUUGUUGAACCUACUAACCUCAACUAUCAACUACUUCACCACGGAGCCCAAAUCCAAUGGUGAUCGUCGACGCCAAUAAAUCAAUAGAGAUGAAAAACUCCACUACCUACACCUAAAACCAGAUGGUCGGGAAAUACGAGAUCGAGAGAUAACGAGAUUGGCACAGAGGAUUAGGGCAUUCUUUGGGCGGAAGCGAGGGACGAAGUUGGGAAUGUGAAAACGCCUAAUGCAAACUCCAAUUUGGGAAAAACAAAGGGAGAAAUCCAACAUGGAUUUUAGAUUUUUUUUUUUUUUUUUAAUACCCAGGAAAGGGCAUUUUCAGCACAUUAUACAUGGGAUAUCCUUCUUAUCAAUUUUGAGAUUUUGUUUGGGUGGUGGGCUUAAUUUUGUAACAUCUAUGGACCAAUUGUUAAUUUUUGAACCCAACUGGGCACAAAACACAAUUCUCCCAAAUUAUUAUAAAUAUCUCAUGGAAUGAGGACAAAUUAAAUAAGAGGAGUGAGAGAGGGAGAAGAAGAAGACAACCAAAAAAGAAAAAGAAGACAGCAUUGUAAACAUAGAAAGUGGAAAGUAUUGGAAAUAUUUCAUGAAAUCGGAGUAAACAACAAAACAAAAUUAAAUACUUUUCAUCCCUGUUUCCUACUUCUAUCAUAAAGUAUGGAUAGACAUAUAGAUAGAGAUGAGGAGAAGGAGGAGAAGGAGGAUCACUCAGCUUUCACCAGUCCUGCAGUGUGUUCUGGUGGUGUAGCAUAUGGUAGGAUGUCAUUCUUGCUCCAAAAGUGUGGGCAGAUCCAUUUUUUUUUCCUUUUUUCAUCUCUGUCCUCACUGAUUCGUUUUGGAUUUCCAUCAGUAUUUAUCAGUGGGCUUGGUGUUAGUCAAAAGCCACCUAUUUUUCUUUCCUUUUUUUCCCAUAUAUUAGAAUGAAAUGUUGUUGUCCAUUUUAGGGGAAGGCGUUAUGCUGAACUGAAUUGUGCGAGGGGAAUGAAAAUUAAUUUAGGGGUUUUUUUCCUCCUCUAUUUUUGGCUCUCUUUCAUGAGGGUACAGAUUCUCUUUUUUCUCUCGGAGUGUUUGGAUUGUUUCAUUCCAUUUAACUAUUUUUGCAGCAUAUUCCGAGUGUUAUAGGUAUUGGGUAAUCAGUAUUACAGAAAAUGUAAUAUAAUUUUGUACUAUGUAUUUUUGGACUUGGGGUAGGACGAGUUUAAUUUAUGUAGAUUCAUGUCACAAUUCUCCGCCUUCAAUGCAUUGAUUUCUCCAGAUUUUGAUAUAUAUAUAUAUAUAUAUACAAACUGCAAUGGGAAUAAAAAGGAUGGUUGUUUCUUCAAGAAUUCUGAGAAAAAAAAAGGUGGUGGUGGGGGGGAAGAGAGGUUUGAGGAGGCCAUUGGGACUUUUAUCAGUUCUGUGUCUUUUGUUUUCAAGUUGUAAGAAGUCCCUGUUAUGCCAUUUGCUAUGUUGUUUGUGUCCAAUUUUCAGUUGAAAGAGUGGUAGAUUAGAGAAGGAGGAAUGGCUCAGACAUCUGGAUGCAGCUCUGGAGAUGGUAGAUGGUCUCUCAAGGGAAUGACUGCUCUUGUAACUGGUGGAACUAAAGGAAUUGGGUUUGUGAUGUUACCUGUAUUUUAUGUCUUUGGUUUGGACUAUACCUUCCUUCCCAUAUAUAAAUGUAUGCAUCAAUUAUGCAGGCAUGCAAUUGUGGAAGAACUGGCUGGACUAGGAGCAACCAUACACACAUGUUCUAGAAAAGAAACCGAGCUCAAUGAAUGCUUGAAGGAUUGGAAAGCUAAAGGUUUUGGAGUGAGUGGUUCAGUGUGUGAUGUAUCCUCUCGGGCCCAAAGGGAGAAGCUAAU
rnacentral:lncRNA from 1 species